GGCUGGAAAAAGGAGUGGAUGAAGGAGCCCUGGUGUAGGUCAGACCACACAGCAGCAGUUCCAGCCAGAGUUAAGGGGCACAGUCCACAUUUGGGGCAGAAAGGCUCAGAAGCAGUGUGUGGGUAUGUGUGGUUUCUCUGUUUGAGAUUCCAUGUGGCUGGAAAGGUCACAGAACCAGGGCAGGAAGGUCACAGAACCAUAGAAUGUUUUGGGUUGGAAGGCACCUUUAAAGGCCAUCUAGUCCAGUCCAGACCAUUCUCUGGUCUGGUUGAAGGACAUCUCCAACCAGCCCAGAGAAUAAACAUGAGGAGAGCACUGAAAACCCAUCCCAGAUGAGCCAAGGCACUCUUGAGAUUCCUUAGGAAUAGCACAGAUGUUGAAAAUAGGGCAGAUGAAUCAUGCCCUAAAAGUGCCUGUUCUGCUGACUGCAAAGGGAGCCCAGGGUGACCGGCUCUGCUGGAAACGUCUGCGUUGUGGAUACAUGAAGUCAGGUUUCAUUGUCACCAACCUGCUAAGAGCUGCAGCAUCUCUUACACUGGAACUUGCAAACUGAAGGAGGCAUCAAUGAAUUGGUUUCCUACGUCUUCUAUGAGAGCACGUGGCUCAGACUUUGUGUUGAAACCAAUUAAAUUUGUGGUGGAGAGCA